rfam:Ictidomys tridecemlineatus contig066485, whole genome shotgun sequence.
GGGGUUAUGGCUCAGAGGUAGAGCGUACGCCUAGCAUGCGUGAGGCACUGGGUUCGAUCCUCAGCACCA